rnacentral:rRNA from 1 species
UACGUAGGGGGCGAGCGUUGUCCGGAUUCAUUGGGCGUAAAGCGCUUUAAGGCGGUUCGGUAAGUCGGGUGUGAAACCUCCAGGCUCAACCUGGAGACGCCACUCGAUACUGCUGUGACUAGAGUUCGGUAGGGGAUCACGGAAUUCCUGGUGUAGCGGUGAAAUGCGCAGAUAUCAGGAGGAACACCGGUGGCGAAGGCGGCAUCCUGGACCGAAACUGACACUGAGGCGCGAAAGCCAGGGGAGCAAACGGG